GAUGAAGAACGUAGCGAAAUGCGAUAAGUAAUGUGAAUUGCAGAAUUCAGUGAAUCAUCGAAUCUUUGAACGCACAUUGCGCCCGCCAGUAUUCUGGCGGGCAUGCCUGUCCGAGCGUCAUUUCAACCCUCGAACCCCUCCGGGGGGUCGGCGUUGGGGACCUCGGGAGCCCCUAAGACGGGAUCCCGGCCCCGAAAUACAGUGGCGGUCUCGCCGCAGCCUCUCCUGCGCAGUAGUUUGCACAACUCGCACCGGGAGCGCGGCGCGUCCACGUCCGUAAAACACCCAACUUCUGAAAUGUUGACCUCGGAUCAGGUAGGAAUACCCGCUGAACUUAAGCAUAUCAAAGCGGAGGA
rnacentral:misc_RNA from 1 species